rnacentral:hammerhead_ribozyme from 1 species
GUCCAGUUGACGAGUCCUUAGUAGGACGAAACGCGUGUCCUGGAU